GGAAAAUCUUGUGCAUUUUUUGAAUCGAAAUUAGAUUUAACCAAAACAUUGAACCAAGAUUUUUGUGGGGGCAAUUAUGACGAAGAGGAGAAUGUUAUAAACUCUAUUUCAGUUAAUGCUUUGCAAUAUUUGGCCACAUCACAAUAGAAUAGUAAACUCAAGAAUUAUGAAUGUAAUGAGUAUUUCUUCUAUCAAUAGAUUUCCACAAUAAUCUGUAGCAAUUUUUAAGCAAGUUCAUCUUUUAAUUUUCUUUUUCCAUAACAUAUGUUGCUAUGUUUUUUUCUGCAUAGUUCAUCACAUCCUCCAUCAUUAUUUUCUGUAAAUCGUAUUGACAAGCCUCCCUGACGCCAUUGAAAUCAGUUAAUAAAAUCUCAUACACCUAUGAUGCCCAAUAAUCACAGUUCUAUCACUUUCUCUUAUUCAA
rnacentral:misc_RNA from 1 species